GGUAAUCUUAGUUUAAUGGUAAAAUAACGUUUUGUGGUUACGCUGUUCGGAGUUCGAUUCUCCGAUUUUACC
rnacentral:tRNA from 1 species